UCUCAUAACAUGAAAGCCCUUUAGCUCAUGGGAUUACACUUCAUAUUCUCUCAAUGGGUUUUAGGAUUUUGAGAUUGUUAUUAUAGUUUACGAUUGUAUUUUGUUCACUUGUAAUUAUAAUUGGGCAUUUUUUUUUUGUUCAUAUUUGGGAUUUAAUUGAGGUUAGGGUUUAACAUAUAGAUUGUGUUUUUGGAGUUGUUGAAGUUGUUGGUUUAAUGGGUAUUUGAGGAUUUAGAGAAAGGAGUGAGUUUGUGAUGGAAGAAGUAUUUCAGUUUGGAGAAAUGACUCAUUUUUAUACAACGAUAUUGAUGGUGUCAAAUCUUCUAGAGGAUGAAACACCUAGCUAUAGUUUGUUUCAGCUAAACUCUGGACGCCAAAAUGUAUGGAACCUCUGAUUCUAAGUGCGACGAGUAAUGUUUGCCUGAAGGUGGAAUUGGUCCCGUUAGCUGCUCUACCAUGGAAGGUAUGGUGCUGCAUCAGUAUCAAAAUCUUGACACCAGGGUCUUCUACAUACAAUGAACAUGAUCUCACCUCAUGUACUUCAAAUUCGGGCAUGGGGUUCCAAAAUCCUAGGAUUGUUGCAGUCAUUUCAGAGUUGAUAAAUUUCUGUGAAUAUCUUAAGGUGAGCUGAAUAAAGGGUAAAUGUUGGUCUGCAGGAUUGAUUUUAGUCCUUAGUGAAGCUGACACGUUAUGCUUGUGGCUUAUCAGUAUAAGAUUAGUUAUUAUGUAAAGAUGUGAGAUGAUGCAUCAACUCUGCCCUUUAGGUUCAAAAAGCCCGAUGCAGGGUAAAUUGAUAGCUUUUACAAGCAAUAUUACGAGCACUAUGUUAGAGCCUUAGACAAGGGGGAGCAAGCUGACGGGUAUAUUCUCUUAAGUGUGUCAUAUUUCUGUUAACCGAUGUGAGUUGUCAAAUGAUGACAGCCUAAAAAGAGAGCUUAGGUAGUUUCUUUAAACAAUCUCACAGUCAAAGAAAAUAUUCAGAUUUCAGCUCAUUUCAAUUUGCUGACAGAGUCAAACUUGGCAAAACGUACCAAACAGCUGAAGUGCAUUUUGAAGUGCUGUGUGGCAUUUCGAGACUGGCGCUUCCUCGAGGCCAUUGCCCCGCUGUUAAAGAUGUCCAAGAGAAGUAGGCAUUCUACCACUGGGUGUGGCUGAACUCCAUAAUAAGGUCUCUUUGUGGUGAGGUUUGUGUAAGGUGCUAGAGUGUUCUUUAUUCCGUUUAUUAUCCUGAGCGGCAGAGUUGGCUGUGGAGGAAGAGAUCUUCUUCUGACAAGAGUCCUGGUGUGACAGAAAGCUCAGGAUCAAUAUCUUCUCAUUUCGAAAGAUAUUUUGAUGAACAGCAAGAACAAUCAAAAGCAUCUCCCGUGGACAUUAUGCAAUCCCCAGAGGUCAUCUCAAAAUCUGCAACCAGUGUUAAAUAGGUUAAUGGCAAUACGAGGAGGAAUCUGACAGAAAAACUUUCUGCAGCUCUUCUAAACAUCACCGCCAAAGAGGACUUAGUACAUCAACAUGCUCUUCUAAACAUCACGCCAAAGAGGACUUGGUUUCAUGUUAAGAUGCUCGCAGAAAGUUAUGAGUUGAUAAUGCUGAUUCUACUGUUAAUAAACUAACAGCGAAAUGGAAGGAUUCUUUUGUUUCCUUUUCUUUUGCAUCUUAUAAGCUGUUGUUAUUAAAUCUGAGUUCCCAUAUGUGUUGGAAUGUUAGUAAUAUAUGAAAUGGUGUUCCCAAAGAGUUAAUCUCGCUGUUCUUUCUGAAACGUCCAUUCUUAGGUUGGGAGCAAGCAGAAAAUGAAGCGGCGGCCUUCAAGCAACAUCUUGAAACUGCAGUUCACUUGGAGAUCUGGUGGGUCAUCUCGAUGGGGCUCCCAUGGAGUGCCAGACAGCCUAAGCAAGCAUGAGAGAAACAAGAACAGAAGAUUCAUGAAGCUGUCAUUCAGAGUUAAAGAUUGCCGUAAAUUUACUAAGGUGAACUGAAUAAAGGGUAAAUGUUGGUCUGCAGGAGUGGUUUCAGUCUUUGGUGAAGGUGGCAUGUCUUUUUUAUUUUCUAGCUUAUCAGUAUGAGGUUAGUUAUUACUACCAUGGUAAUGAACGGACCCUUGUCCGACCACAUGGCCCGAGGUUGCCAAGUUGUCCCCAAUCUACAAAAUGAUAACAAUUCAUUGUACUCCAAAAUCUACAUCAUGACCAGAAGUGGUGAUCUAGAAUCUUCAACAUGGCCGGAAUCUAACCUUUUUACCCAGUGCCCAUUGGCCUAAAUGUGCAAUGUGACAUCCAGAAAUUGUUACUUCACAAAAAAAAAGUGCCAUCACCAAAAUCUGUUACCUAACAGAAAGUAGGUCUUGGCGCCGGUUGGAAAUUGUAUUUUUUCUUAGCUACCUGGGCUUCUUUUUAUAAAAGAGGUUUAAAAAAAAAAGAGGAUAAAUUAAAUCAUUUUUAUAACGGUCCGCGAGU